GGACCCCCCAAAUCCCCCCCAGGGCCCCCCCAGGAUGGAUUUCCUGCGGCGCCGCCUCUCGGAUGGGAAUUUCCUGGCGGGGGGGGGCUGGGUGGAGACCCCCCCCCAGCUGGGGGAGGGGCGGGGAGACCCCCGCGGACCCCUCCCCCCACGGCGCCGCUGCUGCUCGUGAUCGCCCCCCCCGGCACGGACUGGGUGAAACCAUUCAAGGGCAAAUCCGUGCAUGGGGACGUCGAGCUGAGAGUGGAGCAGGCCCAGUUCUCGGAGCUCUCCUUGGCCGCCUCCACCCACGGCGCCCUCAGCGUCAGCA